rnacentral:rRNA from 1 species
AUUGAACGCUGGCGGCAGGCUUAACACAUGCAAGUCGAGCGGAGCGAGGGUGCUUGCACCUUAGCUUAGCGGCGGACGGGUGAGUAAUGCUUAGGAAUCUGCCUAUUAGUGGGGGACAACAUUCCGAAAGGGAUGCUAAUACCGCAUACGCCCUACGGGGGAAAGCAGGGGAUCUUCGGACCUUGCGCUAAUAGAUGAGCCUAAGUCGGAUUGGCUAGUUGGUGGGGUAAAGGCCUACCAAGGCGACGAUCUGUAGCGGGUCGGAGAGGAUGCACCGCCACACUGGGACUGAGACACGGCCCAGACUCCUACGGGAGGCAGCAGUGGGGAAUAUUGGACAAUGGGGGGAACCCUGAUCCAGCCAUGCCGCGUGUGUGAAGAAGGCCUUUUGGCUGUAAAGCACUUUAAGCGAGGAGGAGGCGCUCUAGGUUAAUACCCUAGAUGCGUGGACGUUACUCGCAGAAUAAGCACCGGCUAACUCUGUGCCAGCAGCCGCAGUAAGAC